GACGAACGCUGGCGGCGUGCUUAACACAUGCAAGUCGUACGGUAAGGCCCUUUCGGGGGUACCCGAGUGGCGAACGGGUGAGUAACACGUGAGUAACCUGCCCACAACUUUGGGAUAACGCUAGGAAACUGGUGCUAAUACUGGAUAUGUGCUCCUGCUGCAUGGUGGGGGUUGGAAAGCUCCGGCGGUUGUGGAUGGACUCGCGGCUUAUCAGCUUGUUGGUGGGGUAGUGGCCUACCAAGGCGGCGACGGGUAGCCGGCCUGAGAGGGUGACCGGCCACAUUGGGACUGAGAUACGGCCCAGACGCCGACGGGAGGCAGCAGUGGGGAAUAUUGCACAAUGGGCGCAAGCCUGAUGCAGCAACGCCGCGUGCGGGAUGACGGCCUUCGGGUUGUAAACCGCGUUCAGCAGGGACGAAGCUUUUUGUGACGGUACCUGCAGAAGAAGCACCGGCUAACUACGUG
rnacentral:rRNA from 1 species